rnacentral:lncRNA from 1 species
CUUAAGCUAGAACCAAAUUUCUUAUCAUAGCGUGUCAGAAAAUCUUUCCAUCCUCCAACAGCUCCUUUUAAGCCCUGCUUCUGGGUGAAUCUCACAAUCUCAACAAGAACCUGCUAUGGUAUUAGUAGGGGUGGAAACGAGCCGAGCUCGAUCGAGCUUAUGUCAGCUCAAAUUCGCUCUGAAAUAAUUUCGAGCCUAAAUCUAUGCUCAAGCUCGUCUUGAAAUUAAUUCGAGCCGAGCUUCGAGCGAGCCUAAUUCGAGUCGAGCCAGCUCGAGCUCUAAACGAGCCGUUGAAAUUCUCGACAUUAAUAUAUCAAAUAGUUUAUUUUUAAUAGAACAUUAUCUAGCAAUUGUGAUGCACAUGUCAAAUAGUUCAAAAUACAAAAUAAUUGCAAGAAAUGUGAGCUAGGUGACUGCCUGACUGGGUGAGGGUCUGAGUGAAGAGAGAGAGAGAAAGAAAAAAUUAGGGAUUUGAAAAUUUGAAUGUUAUCAUAUUUUAGGUUAUGUGCAAUAGUGAAAGUCUGAAAGAGAGAGUGUGUUAUGUAAAUUUAGAGUUGGGCUCAAUUGCACGGUUGUACUUGUUGGGUUUAUUUUAUGGGCCAAUAAUAAUAGCCCAAUAAAAUUAAGCCAUAUAAUAAUUAAAUACAUUAAUAUAUAUAUAUAUAUAUAUAUAUAUAAUAUAUAAUAUAUAAUAUAUAUAUAUAUAUAUAUAUAUAUAGGAUUGAGCUCCUAAUGUUUUAAAAGUACCAGUCAUUGGUGCUUGUAAGUUUUUACCGCUUGGAUUAAGGAAUAUGCGGUUAAGAUGAUGUGGGCCCCUAGGGUUAAGUGGGCGGUUGGUUGAAUAGUAUAAUCUAACGGGUGAAAAUGAUCAAAGGCGUAGAUCUAGCGUAAAAAUUCAAUUUACCAGCACGAAAUACUUGGUACGUUUACAAGCACAUAUGCCGAACUAUAAUAUAUAUAUAAUAUAUAUAAAUAAUAUAUAUAUAUAUAUAUAUAUAUAUAUAUAUAUAUAUUCGAGCUUUUCGAGCCUAAUUCGAACGAGCUGAGUAAUACUCAAGCUCAGCUUGAAAUGAAUUUCGAGUCUUUUAUUUUGUUCAAGCUCGGCUCAUUUAAUUUCGAGUCGAGCUCGAGCGAGCCGAAUAUCGAGCCGAACACGAGUCGAACGCGAGCCGGCUCGCUCGUUUGCCAGCCCUAGGUAUUAGAGUGAGCUUAGGUUUCUGAGUCAGAAAAGAAGAUUAAAGAGAGAAAGAACAAGAGAAAAUAAUAUAAGUAAUACCAAAAGGUCCAAAUAUUGGAUAUAUCCAUCAGUGUAAAUAUGAAUAGGUGCAAAAGAAACAAGGAAACACAAGGGAAACUCAUCGAUAUAAUGUUAUGCAUAGUUCGUAGGUUUUAGCAUUCGUUCGCAUUGGGACUUUUCCCAAGUAUUCCUAGCCCACGAGAGAUAAGGAAUAAACAUAAGAGAUAAAUCCUAUCAUGUUUCAAUCUCGAUUUAUGUGGGAUCAUAUUAGAAUCAAAUAAGAUUAGUAUCUCCUCUAUGGUCAAUAAAUACAUGAUUGACGGGCCACAAAUUACACCAAGAAAAAAUUAGAUUUAUCUCUCUACGGAAAUUCUCUCUCCGGUUCACUCUAGGGCACCAACAAAAAUCCUAGGGACUUGGGCAAUGUACUACCAUCGACUCUUGUAGCCAGUUCGCAACGAGAAAGAUCAAUUUCCUAAGGAAAACGUGCUAGCAAUUGAGACGGUUUCUGGAGGAUCGAGGAGUUCAUAAAACAAGCCGAAAUAAGAUCCAUGGGUAACCGCGACGUUAAUUCUAAAUUGAUAAGGUUUGUGAAAUCUAUAUGUGUAACAACCCGACAUGCUAGCAAUAAUAACUCGUUGGGAUCAAACUACCGGCCCAAAAUGCUUAAACCCAGUUAUUAUAACUAGUGUGUCUAUCACUUAUAAACCCAUCACACACUCCCAUAUUAUCUAAUGUGGGACUAUUGGAAUGUCGCAUACCUCGUUUAGGUGCUGAACAUCCUCAUCAGCGCAGCCUAGUCAUACAGCCCCAGAUUCACCAGGUGAUGUGAGAUUUAUCUCACACUUCCGGCUGGUUAUCAGGCUCUAAUACCAAAUGUAACGACCCGACUCGCUAACAAUAAUAAGUCGUUGGGCCCAAACCACCGGCCCAAAAUGCUAAAGACCAGUUAUUAUAACUAGUGUGUCCACUUAUAAACCCAUCACACUCUCCCACAUUAUCCGUUGUGGGACUAUUGGGAUGUCACAAUGUGAUUUCCACCAUAAAUUAGUGCAUAAUUUUCAACGUUGGUAUCAAAGUGCCUUACUGUCCUUGUUUUCUCUUAUUAUAUUUUAGUUAAUAUGUGUAUUUUCGAUAUGUAUUCUUGAUCAGGAUUGUCCUGAGUAGCACGCAACAAGAAAGCUACACCCAAGAACAGCGAAGGAUCACAUGUGAUUCCACCUGUGAGUGUGAUUUGCACGGUUUAAGCACGUUGUUGGACACAUUGGAUCAAGCGCUGGACUACCAAGCACGAAGUUGUGCAAGACAGACCCGCGUACAAGGUUGCACUGAGCCCUUCUGUGCACUAGGUCGCGAGAGGGCCAACUCACACGUGAGGCAACGCGCAGGGUCACCAUUACUUUGGGCCAACCCCAGGUGCUAGCCCGAUCUGCGGACUGGGCCGCAUGUGGGCCCAAACCAGAUAGGCCACACGGGAUCGUACCGCUAACAAGGGGGUGCCCGCGUGCUGGGCCCAUGAGGGCCCACCCAUGCAAGGAUCUAAUUCGCAUGGUGGGCCGCCCACCCCGCUAGGUCGAGCACGCAAGCCUGCUCAUGUGUAGGCCAACCAGAGUGCUAGCCCGCGUGGGGGCUGCCGGCACUAGGCCCGCGGGAGACCCCCUUGCGCACCUCUUGCACUGGGCACAGGGGCCUAGUCUUGGUGACCUUACAAAAUAAAAAAAAAAAAGAGAAAAAAAGAGAAAAAGACGUUUGUAUAGGGACUCGCAACCACAACCAGUGGCAAUUAUAUGUUUUCUACCUCAUACCCUCUAACUAACUGAACCUUCUCCACUUGCUUUAAUAUUUGCACAUUAUUGAUUUAUAUCAUAUUUUUGAAUAUACGUUAUUGUUCCCACUAAAUGAUAUAACUACAUCUAGUUUAUCACUAAUGAAUAACGUGUAGGGCUGGAAUUGGAUCGGGCUUGGUCAUACUAUACGCAAGCCUAGCCCGAAAAAAAAAUAUCGAGCUUCGGGUUGGGCUUUUACCCAAUUUUUUAAAAAAAAUUAAGGCCCGACCCAAACCCAAGCCCAAUGCCUAAUACCUAUCGGGCUUUGUGGAGGCCCACUUUAUGUAUUUGUCACAUAGUACAAAUAUAUUUUUAUUGUAUAAAAUUAAAAUAAAAUAAAAUAUUCUUAUAUUAAUAAAUAAGAUAUAUUAUAUAAGUGUAGAGCUACAGCUACUAUACUAUCGGAAGCAUAGAGGAUUUGAUGCUUCUGAUUUUUUGACCCUUCGAUCAAGAAUUGCACGGUUAGGAUGAUUGCGGUCCCCCAUAGGGUUGAGUAGUACUCCUAGGGUUGAGUAGUACUCCUAGGGUUGAGUGGUCCCUACAGGGUAAUAGUAUCAAUCCAAAGGUUAAAAAUGAUUAAAGGGGCUUAUCUAAGGACCAAAAAAGUCGAAAGCACUAGAUCUUUUAUGCUUCCGAUAGCAUAGUAGCUAUACUCUUAUAUAUAAUGUUAAGUUCUAUGUAUAUAACUAUAUAAAAUGAUACAUACUAUAUAUUUUUACUUAAGUUAUAGAUAUGUAUAAUUGUGUAUAAUAAUAUUAUUUAAAUAUUAUUUAUAAUAUAUCCUCAUUUGGAAACUAAAUAUUUAGUUAUAUUUAUAACAUAAUACUAAUGUAUAUCC